CGGGUUGUAAAGUACNUUUCANNCNGGGANNNNGUGUUGNNGGCUNNUNANNCNCAGCANUUGACGUNNNCCNCAGANGCAGCACCGGCUAACUCCGUGCCAGCANCNCGGUAAUACGGAGGGNGGCAAGCGUUAAUCGGAAUUACUGGGCGUAAAGCGCACGCAGGCGGUCUGUCAAGUCGGAUGUGAAAUCCCCGGGCUCAACCUGGGAACUGCAUUCGAAACUGGCAGGCUAGAGUCUUGUAGAGGGGGGUAGAAUUCCAGGUGUAGCGGUGAAAUGCGUAGAGAUCUGGAGGAAUACCGGUGNNGAAGGCGGCCCCCUGGACAAAGACUGACGCUCAGGUGNGAAAGCGUGGGGAGCAAACAGGAUUAGAUACCNUGGUAGUCCACGCCGUAAACGAUGUCGACUUGGAGGUUGUGCCCUUGAGGCGUGGCUUCCGGAGCUAACGCGUUAAGUCGACCGCCUGGGGAGUACGGCCGCAAGGUUAAAACUCAAAUGAAUUGACGGGGGCCCGCACAAGCGGUGGAGCAUGUGGUNUAAUUCGAUGCAACGCGAAGAACCUUACCUACUCUUGACAUCCAGAGAACUUAGCAGAGAUGCUUUGGUGCCUUCGGGAACUCUGAGACAGGUGCUGCAUGGCUGUCGUCAGCUCGUGUUGUGAAAUGUUGGGUUAAGUCCCGCAACGAGCGCAACCCUUAUCCUUUGUUGCCAGCGGUUAGGCCGGGAACUCAAAGGAGACUGCCAGUGAUAAACUGGAGGAAGGUGGGGAUGACGUCAAGUCAUCAUGGCCCUUACGAGUAGGGCUACACACGUGCUACAAUGGCGCAUACAAAGAGAAGCGACCUCGCGAGAGCAAGCGGACCUCAUAAAGUGCGUCGUAGUCCGGAUUGGAGUCUGCAACUCGACUCCAUGAAGUGGGAAUCGGUAGUAAUAGUAGAUCAGAACGNUACGGUGAAUCCCCCNCAGGGCUUUGUAGCAACCAGUAAUCACUAGAGGGGAUCCGGUUCA
rnacentral:rRNA from 1 species